AAAUUUUAGUUUCUUGUGUACAAUUUGGAAAUUAGUAUGGCGUUCAUUAUCACUGAACUAGUAUAUAUUUGUUUAGGGGCCAGUUGAAGGACGCCUCCGGGUGCGGGAAUUUCUCGCUACAUUGAAGACCUGUUGGUGACCUUCUGCUGUUGUUUUUUUCUAUGGUCGGGUUGUUGUCUCUUUGGCACAUUCCCCAUUUCCAUUCUCAAUUUUAUACCAAAAACACAAA
rnacentral:lncRNA from 1 species